rnacentral:rRNA from 1 species
UACGUAGGGCGCAAGCGUUGUCCGGAAUUAUUGGGCGUAAAGAGCUCGUAGGCGGUCUGUCACGUCGGGGGGUGAAAGCCCGAGGCUCAACCUCGGAACUGCCUCGAUACUGCAGGGCUAGAGUCCUGGAGAGGAAGGUGGAAUGCUUGGUGUAGAGGUGAAAUUCGUAGAUAUCAAGCGGAACACCGGUGGCGAAGGCGGCCUCUGGACAAUGCUGACGCUAAAACACGAAAGCGUGGGGAGCA